rnacentral:rRNA from 1 species
UAGGUGGUUUGUCGCGUCGUUUGUGUAAGCCCGCAGCUUAACUGCGGGACUGCAGGCGAUACGGGCAUAACUUGAGUGCUGUAGGGGAGACUGGAAUUCCUGGUGUAGCGGUGGAAUGCGCAGAUAUCAGGAGGAACACCGAUGGCGAAGGCAGGUCUCUGGGCAGUAACUGACGCUGAGGAGCGAAAGCAUGGGUAGCGAACAGGAUUAGAUACCCUGGUAGUCCAUGCCGUAAACGGUGGGCGCUAGGUGUGAGUCCCUUCCACGGGGUUCGUGCCGUAGCUAACGCAUUAAGCGCCCCGCCUGGGGAGUACGGCCGCAAGGCUAAAACUCAAAGGAAUUGACGGGGGCCCGCACAAGCGGCGGAGCAUGUGGAUUAAUUCGAUGCAACGCGAAGAACCUUACCUGGGCUUGACAUACACCAGACCGGGCCAGAGAUGGUCUUUCCCUUUGUGGUUGGUGUACAGGUGGUGCAUGGUUGUCGUCAGCUCGUGUCGUGAGAUGUUGGGUUAAGUCCCGCAACGAGCGCAACCCUUGUCUCAUGUUGCCAGCAAUUCGGUUGGGGACUCGUGAGAGACUGCCGGGGUUAACUCGGAGGAAGGUGGGGAUGACGUCAAAUCAUCAUGCCCCUUAUGUCCAGGGCUUCACACAUGCUACAAUGGUCGGUACAACGCGUCUGCGAGCCUGUGAGGGUGAGCUAAUCGCUGUGAAAGCCGGUCGUAGUUCGGAUUGGGGUCUGCAACUCGACCCCAUGAAGUCGGAGUCGCUA